GCCACUACAUAAAUUCCUGUCCACACAAAUGGACCGACUAACAUUCCGCCAAUUUUUUAGAUUCUGACAUUUCAAUUGAGUUUUUCAGACUUUCACUUGGCUUUUGCUUUUUUCCGUCUUCACCGGCCUGCUCUAACCUCAAAUAUUAUCAAGAAUAUGUUCAGCAGCUGUCAUUGCGGAGAUGAAAAAGAACAAAAAAGAUGAAUGGUAAAUGUUGACUGAAAAUAAGCAAACCAAGCUUUUUCUCCCUUCUGAAGGUUAAUUUCACCACUCUUCAUCUGGAAAUCAAUUACAAAAGAACAAGGAAUCAAGGAGCUACUACAAGAUUGCUAAAGUCAAUCUUGAUGCUUAAGGAAAGAAAUCAAUUAGCAAAGAUUACGAUUCAAUCAGCAAAUCUGGAUGCUUAAGGAAAGAAAUCAAUCAGCAAAGGUUACGGAGAGCUGUGAUGGAAAGAAUCAAGCAAGCUUAACUUAAGACAUUAAUCAAGACCAGCACAUUCAAAUCCGGAAGAUCGAAGAUUCUGUGAAGAGUAGCUGAGCAGCUAUUUUUGGAAGGACCAACAAUCAAGGAGUAAACCUUCAUCAUAAACAACUGUAGAAGGAAAGCUGUCAAGGAAGAGCAACUGGCAAGCAAUCUUAUUUCUUGGAAAGAAUCAAUCUCUUUCCAAUGAUCAAAUCUCUUGGGUUGUCAAGCCUCCGUCAACAAACGAUCUUCACCAAAGUAUUUAUACUCAGCUUCAAGCCUUAGACAAACAUACUUUGAUCGAACCAAAAAAAUUCUCUCUUUGUUCUACUGCAAACAAACACUGUAGUUCUCUAAGAUCUGUUGUGUAACAAGUCAGGGAAAAAAAGAGUACAAUACUGGUGAGGCAUUGUAUCAAAAGAGACGAGUAUUAUAGGAACAGAGCUACCAAGUCAUUUUCAUAGUGCUCGGAGAAACACAUUUACUAAAGAGAACUCCCUUGCAACCCAAGGGGACUAGACUAGGAUUCACAUUGAA